UACGUAGGGGGCAAGCGUUGUCCGGAUUUAUUGGGCGUAAAGAGCGUGUAGGCGGCCAUACAGGUCAGCUGUGAAAACUCGAGGCUCAACCUCGAGACGUCGGUUGAAACCGUAUGGCUAGAGUCCGGAAGAGGCGAGUGGAAUUCCUGGUGUAGCGGUGAAAUGAGCAGAUAUCAGGAGGAACACCUAUUGCGAAGGCAGCUCGCUGGGACGUAACUGACGCUGAGACGCGAAAGCGUGGGGAGCAAACAGG
rnacentral:rRNA from 1 species